rnacentral:rRNA from 1 species
CCUACGGGCGGCAGCAGUGAGGAAUAUUGGUCAAUGGGCGCGAGCCUGAACCAGCCAAGUCGCGUGAGGGAAGACGGUCCUAUGGAUCGUAAACCUCUUUUGUCGGGGAGCAAAAGCUGCGACGCGUGGCCGUCCGAGAGUACCCGAAGAAAAAGCAUCGGCUAACUCCGUGCCAGCAGCCGCGGUAAUACGGAGGAUGCGAGCGUUAUCCGGAUUUAUUGGGUUUAAAGGGUGCGCAGGCGGAGGGUCAAGUCAGCGGUAAAAGCGGGGGGCUCAACCCCGGCGAGCCGUUGAAACUGGGUGUCGUGAGAGGGCGAGAGGUAUGCGGAAGGCGGGGGGGAGCGGUG